AGAAAUUACUAGAUUAUACCGAAGACAGUAUGUGGCGUAAGCCUUAAUAAUCAUACCGAGGAUAAUUGUGAUGUAUGUAUACAUUAAACACACAAUCCCUCAUUGUCUACGGAGACAUGGGGUUUUUUUAUUGCCCU
rfam:Marinilactibacillus sp. 15R, complete genome.